GGAGGGUACAGCUCAAGUGGUAGAGCGCAUGCCUAGAGUGCACAAGGUCCUGGGUUCAGUCCCCAGUCCCUCCU
rnacentral:tRNA from 1 species